GACUUCGUAGCUCAGCUGGUAGAGCGUUUGCCGCGUUAGGGUAUGGUGUUUCUGCCGCUGGUUCGAAUCCAGCCGAAGUCC